UGAACGCUGGCGGCGUGCCUAAUACAUGCAAGUCGAGCGAACGGACGAGAAGCUUGCUUCUCUGAUGUUAGCGGCGGACGGGUGAGUAACACGUGGAUAACCUACCUAUAAGACUGGGAUAACUUCGGGAAACCGGAGCUAAUACCGGAUAAUAUUUUGAACCGCAUGGUUCAAAAGUGAAAGACGGUCUUGCUGUCACUUAUAGAUGGAUCCACGCUGCAUUAGCUAGUUGGUAAGGUAACGGCUUACCAAGGCAACGAUGCAUAGCCGACCUGAGAGGGUGAUCGGCCACACUGGAACUGAGACACGGUCCAGACUCCUACGGGAGGCAGCAGUAGGGAAUCUUCCGCAAUGGGCGAAAGCCUGACGGAGCAACGCCGCGUGAGUGAUGAAGGUCUUCGGAUCGUAAAACUCUGUUAUUAGGGAAGAACAUAUGUGUAAGUAACUGUGCACAUCUUGACGGUACCUAAUCAGAAAGCCACGGCUAACUACGUG
rnacentral:rRNA from 1 species